UUAACAGCUGGUAGCAUGAAGAGAAUAAGACUCAUACUUGAGCUGAACACCAGUUGCUGUAGACCUGCUGUUGAGAUGGAAACCUGGCUGUGGAUUAUUAUUGCCUCACUUCUAUCGGAGUGUAAUGGAGAAGACAGAGUCAAUCAGACCGGAGAAUAUGUCUUUGCCACUGAAGGACUCACAGUUAGUCUUCGCUGUACAUUUGAGACCACUGACAGUAGUCCCAGUUUGUUCUGGUACAAACAACAAACCCAUGACUUCCCCAGGUUCAUGCUACGACGCUCUACAUUUGGAGGAGAUAAUGCUCCAGAGUUCCGCAAAGACCGAUUUGAUGCCGAAAUCCAAAUCAAAUCAGUUCCUCUGAGCAUCCAGAACCUGCAGCUGUCAGACUCUGCUCUGUACUACUGUGCUCUGAGGCCCACAGUGACCGGAAACACAGACUCCCUGUACAAAAACCUGCUGAACACUAAACAACUUUCCCUCUACCCCUGAAACCAGCACACAGACAUAAAUGACUAAACAUGAUCACUCAUCACAACAGUGUACACCUAAUGAAUCAUCCACUUUCACCAUAA